GUCUUCCUGUCUGGGUUGGCGCCCCCCUUGGGUUGUGCCGUGGCGGAGAUCUUUGUGGGCUAUACUCGGCCUUGUCUCAGGAUAAUAAGUUGGUGGUUGAAGACAUCCCUCUAGUGGGGUGGCGGAGAUCUUUGUGGGCUAUACUCGGCAUUGUCUCAGGAUAAUAAGUUGGUGGUUGAAGAUAUCCCUCUAGUGGUGUGGGGGCUGUGCUUUGGCAAAGUGGGUGGGUUAUAUCCUGCCUGUUUGGCCCUGUCCGGGGGUAUCAUCGGAUGGGGCCACAGUGUCUCCUGACCUCUCCUGUCUCAGCCUCCAGUAUUUAUGCUGCAGUAGUUUAUGUGUCAGGGGGCUAGGGUCAGUCUGUUAUAUCUGGAGUAUUUCUCCUGUCUUAUCCAGUGUCCUGUGUGAAUUUAAGUAUGCUCUCUCUAAUUCUCUCUCUCUCGGAGGAGGACCUGAGCCCUAGGACCAUGCCUCAGGACUACCUGGCAUGAUGACUCCUUGCUGUCCCCAGUCCACCUGGCCGUGCUGCUGCUCCAGUUUCAACUGUUCUGCCUGCGGCUAUGGAACCCUGAACUGUUCAUUGCAAAAGAUGACGUACCUUGUCCCGGAUCUGGGUUCUGUAGCGGAAGUAGCAGCAGUAUGCAGAGUUCCUGGGGUUCAGCCGUGUCUUCUAUAUGAGAUAGCUACAUCACUGCUGGACUAACACACUGCAUAACCUUAACCAGUUUGAUGGAGGUAUAAAUAAAUCUAAACUUUAUUAUAAUGACCUUUCAUAAAAGUUGUAGAAAAAGUUGGAAAAGUACUUCUGACCCCAUCGCCGCUCGCAGCUCCCGUUUCCAGGCUCACCCCACGGUAAAAAUAUCCCGUUGGACCAGAGAGAUGAGCAGGGACCGUACCGGGCAGAGGGCUUGGCCGGGCAGGGGUGAGGAGAGUCGGUUACAGUCCCGUUCCUUGUUCCGUCCUGUGCUAGCAGCUCUUCCAUGGAGCCCCGGUCGGGACCGGCAUCAGCAGUGUGGUCCCGGAGAGGGAGAGCAGGCUGGAGUUAUCACACACACCAGCCCGUGUUUAGCUUGCCUGGUAC
rnacentral:lncRNA from 1 species